UUUUACUUUAUUCAUGGGGUUCAAAAACCGGGAAUACACUAUACUUGUGGGAUCUGGACAGUUUUGUGGGGCCAAAAUGCUGGACCCUGCAAAUCUUAAGGUCUAUUUGAGGGUUAAGACUUGGUUUUAGGAUUAGGGUUAGAAUUAGGUUAUGGUUAUUGUGAGGGUAAGGGUUUCUGUCAGUCAUUUAGUUGUGAUGGUUAAGGUUAAGGUAAGGGGUAGGGAAUGCAUUGAAGGGUCCCCAC